CCUACGGGAGGCAGCAGUGGGGAAUCUUGCGCAAUGGAGGAAACUCUGACGCAGCAACGCCGCGUGAGUGAUGAAGGCCCUCGGGUCGUAAAGCUCUGUCAGAGGGGAAGAACUCCUGUCGGUUAAUAUCCGGCAGGCCUGACGGUACCCUCAAAGGAAGCACCGGCUAACUCCGU
rnacentral:rRNA from 1 species